rnacentral:misc_RNA from 1 species
GAUGAAGAACGUAGCGAAAUGCGACAAGUAAUGUGAAUUGCAGAAUUCCGUGAAUCAUCGAAUCUUUGAACGCACAUUGCGCCCCCUGGUAUUCCGGGGGGCAUGCCUGUCCGAGCGUCAUUGCAACCUUCAAGCGCGGCUUGUGUGUUGGGUCUCGUCCCCCGUGGACGGGCCCGAAAGGCAGUGGCGGCGUCCCGACAUGGUGCCCGAGCGUAUGGGAAUCCUCUUCCGCUCGAAUCGGCCCAUGCGGCGCUGGUCGUAACCAAAUUUUUUACCGGUUGACCUCGGAUCAGGUAGGGAUACCCGCUGAACUUAAGCAUAUCAAUAAGCGGAGGA